ensembl:lncRNA
GCUUCAGUCGUGUCCCAGUCUGUGCUAUCCCGUGGACAACAGCCCACCAGGCUCCUCUGUCCACAGGAUUCCCCAGGCAAGAAUACUGAAGUGGGUUGCCAUUUCUUCUCCAAGGAUAAAUAUACUGAUGAGCAAACUGAUGUCAAGGUCAUACAACUACUGAAUGGCGGAAUCCAGAUUUCAUUCCCGGCAAACAGAGUCCAGAGCCCUAAAACUUCAACCAUUAUAUACACUGUGAAGAUAUUUCAUUAAAUAC